UCUAAAAGAAUAGAAGACACACGAGAGAGCAAAUUUCAGCUGGGAGAUAAACUGGAUAAGGGAUUUUAUGAACAAGAGCAAAUAUCAGUAGCCAACGUGAAUCUAAGGGUGCUUUCACCGCUUUUGAUGAUAUGUCAAGCUCCGUUUCUUCUUAAUUAAUACCGUCGCCGCUUAUACGGAUAGCCAAAUCAAGUUCAGGUAUCAAGAAAUAUUACGGGAACAAACACAAACUCAAUCUGAUAUUGAUCAAUGUAAAACAUAUUACGAAGCUACGGGAAGGGAAAAGAAGAGAAGAGUAUAUGGUCUUGGAUCUCAAGCAAAAUGCUACUAUGGGCCGAAUCUUCGUGGCUCUUCUGGAUCAGAUGCUUCAUCAUCAAUACCACCUUCAAGUGCUCAAUCAGCAUCAAUAGAGAACCUGGAUGAGUUAGGGAUGCGUUUGAUUCCUGCACUAACAGAGCACAUAGUUCCCGUGUUAACUGAUCACAUGCUUCCAGUGUUGACUGAGCGGGUGCGUGAAAUGAUUUUGUCACCCUCACAUCAGCCUACUUCUACUGACCACCCAUCAGAUGUGGUACCAAUAGUUCAUUCUCCUACUAUUGCUAUUGUUCAUGGGGUUCAUCCAUCGGUUUCAGAUGAUGACCUUAACCCCUAAGCCUCGUAUUUGGAAGCUUUUUGGUUUGAACUUUAUUAUUGGUGUUAGGGAUAAUUCGAACUUAAUUGUAUUAGCUAUAUGCAUUUUGAUAUCAUUUUGGACCUUGAAGUAUGUUAA